rnacentral:rRNA from 1 species
GCCUAUAGCCACACCACCCUGAAAAUGUCUGAUCUCAGAAGCGAUACAGGGUCGGGCCUGGUUAGUAACUGGAUGAGAGACCUCAUGGGAAUUCCAGGUGUCGUAGGCU